CGGCGGAGGAGAGGAGUGGAGAGAGAGAAGUUUAUGAGAUUCAACUAUCCUUCCUACUCGAGAGGAUGAAGAUGAAGAGAGGGAGAAAAAUGAACAAUGAAUAAAAAAAAUAAAUAAAGCUACUUUAAA